AGAGAGAAGGGAGCGAGAGAUGAGGGAAGAGGGAGCCGAGAGAGGGAGAAGAGAGUGAGAUGUGAUAGUAUGUGUGUGUGUGUGCGGCUGGGGAGGAAGAAAAAGGGUGGUGGGGGUGUUGGGCUUUAGGUUUGGGUUAGGGGUUGGGCUUUAAAUUUGGGCCGGGUUUUUAAUUAGUGUUGGGCUGAAAAUUUUGUUAGAAUUUGGGCCGAGUUGGGCCGUUUUUUUUUCAUUUUUUUUAUUUAUUUUUUUUCAGUUGGGCUUGAGUCUUUGGGCCAAGUCAGUAAUGGGCUCAGUUUAUUUAAUUUAGUUAUGGGACGAUUUUAUGAGUACUUGGGCCGAGAUUUUUAAUUAAAUGGGC
rnacentral:lncRNA from 1 species